CCCCGGAGGCUGAGGUGCCUUCACCGAUCUCCAUUGCCGCACCGGUUCCAUUAUCAGAGAGUCCUGCACUGGCAUGUCCCAAUGAGGUGGGUUCGAGUGAGAUGGAUCCGAGUGGUAUUAUUAUACUUUUUAUAUAAUAAAUUUUAAUUUUUUAUUUGGAUAACUAUCAUACUAAUGAUUUAUUUAUUGUUGUUUCAGGUCAGUCUUCAUCAAUAGUGAGACGAGGGCGAGGUCCAUCGAAGAACCUCACUCUAGAGUAUUGGAGAUGCGACACCUGGGACAGCAUCUCCAUAUCGAGAUACCAUCCGACUACACUAGGCCCAU
rnacentral:lncRNA from 1 species